AUCAUGGAGAGUUUGAUCCUGGCUCAGAACAAACGCUGGCGGCGCGUCUUAAGCAUGCAAGUCGAACGGUAAGAUUGGAAGCUUGCUUCUAAUCCUAGAGUGGCGGACUGGUGAGUAACGCGUAGGUGAC
rnacentral:rRNA from 1 species